GACGAACGCUGGCGGCGUGCUUAACACAUGCAAGUCGAACGGAAAGGCACUGCGUUUGUGGGGUGCUCGAGUGGCGAACGGGUGAGUAACACGUGAGUAACCUGCUCUUGACUUUCGGAUAACUUCAGGAAACGGGGGCUAAUACCGGAUAGGAGCCCCCGCUGCAUGGUGGGGGUUGGAAAGUUUCGGCGGUUGGGGAUGGACGAGCGGAUUAUCAGCUUGUUGGUGGGGUAGUGGCUUACCAAGGCUUUGAAGGGUAGCCGGCCUGGGAGGGUGACCGGCCACAUUGGGACUGAGAUACGGCCCAGAGUCCUACGGGAGGCAGCAGUGGGGAAUAUUGCACAAUGGGCGGAAGCCUGAUGCAGCAACGCCGCGUUCGGGAUGACGGCCUUCGGGUUGUAAACCGCUUUCGCCUGUUACGAAGCGUUAGUGACGGUAAUGGGUAAAGAAGCACCGGCUAACUACGUG
rnacentral:rRNA from 1 species